rnacentral:rRNA from 1 species
CACGUAGUUGGCCGGUGCUUCUUAUACUCCUACCGUCACUCUCGCUUCGUCGGAGUCGAAAGAGGUUUACAACCCGAAGGCCGUCAUCCCUCACGCGGCGUCGCUGCAUCAGGCUUCCGCCCAUUGUGCAAUAUUCCCCACUGCUGCCUCCCGUAGGAGUCUGGGCCGUGUCUCAGUCCCAGUGUGGCCGGUCGCCCUCUCAGGCCGGCUACCCGUCGUCGCCUUGGUAGGCCAUUACCCCACCAACAAGCUGAUAGGCCGCGGGCUCAUCUUGCACCGAUAAAUCUUUCCACCCCCGGUCAUGCAACCGAAGGUCAUAUCCGGUAUUAGACCCAGUUUCCCAGGCUUAUCCCAGAGUGCAAGGCAGAUCACCCACGUGUUACUCACCCGUUCGCCGCUCGUGUACCCCGAAGGGCCUUACCGCUCGACUUGCAUGUGUUAAGCACGCCGCCAGCGUCGUCCUGAGCCAGGAGUCAAACUC